rnacentral:pre_miRNA from 1 species
AGAGGAAUAGCUGGGUCAAAUGGUGGUUCGUUCCAUUCCCAGUUUUCCAAGCAAUCUCCAUACUGCUUUCCAAAUUGGCUGCACCAAUUUGCAGUCCCACCAGCAAA